rnacentral:rRNA from 1 species
AUGUCUAGACAACCAUCCGAUGUUGUCUUGAAUAUAAAAAAGUUGAUUGGGAAACAAUUUGAUGACUGCUGGGUGCAAGGAAUGAGGAAAAGAGUCCAUUUUAGCAUCGUUGAAGGGGGGAGAGGAGAAGCUUGCGUCCAAAUCCAUGGAGUGAGAUUUUCUCCUGUUGAAAUUGCCAGUGUUAUUUUUGCAAAGCUCAAGGAUGUCGUCCUGAUGUACCAAUUUCAUCACGAAUUAAAAGCGGUGAUAAGUGUGCCCAUUUUCUUCAGUGAACAGCAAAGGGAGGCCAUAUUGUUGGCGGCAAACAAAGCGGGCUUAACGGUAUUGCAGUUAAUAGAUGAACCAACGGCGGCCGCUCUUUCUAGAGCAACAAUUAAAGAAGGUACCAUUGUUGUUUUCGACAUGGGUGCUGGAUCAUACACAGUCUCCGUACUUGGUGUGUCUGGCACAAACAUUGAGGUCAAAAGUCAAUCUGCUGACCCCAUUGUUGGUGGGGAUCAAUUCGACGAUAUAGUUCUGUACUACUUUAUUACGCAGAUCAGAAAUUUUCAUCAGGUCGACAUUCGUUCAGAUAAAUAUGCUAUGAUGUUACUUGCUGAAGCAGCGGAGCAAGCUAAAGUGGAAUUAUCAACCCAACACGAAGUCACAAUUUCCGUGUCAUGA